rnacentral:rRNA from 1 species
AGAGUUUGAUCAUGGCUCAGGAUGAACGCUAGCUACAGGCUUAACACAUGCAAGUCGAGGGGAAACGAUAUUGGAAGCUUGCUUCCGAUAGGCGCCGACCGGCGCACGGGUGAGUAACGCGUAUCCAACCUGCCCACCACUUGGGGAUAACCUUGCGAAAGUAAGACUAAUACCCAAUGAUAUCUCUAGAAGACAUCUGAAAGAGAUUAAAGAUUUAUCGGUGAUGGAUGGGGAUGCGUCUGAUUAGCUUGUUGGCGGGGUAACGGCCCACCAAGGCAACGAUCAGUAGGGGUUCUGAGAGGAAGGUCCCCCACAUUGGAACUGAGACACGGUCCAAACUCCUACGGGAGGCAGCAGUGAGGAAUAUUGGUCAAUGGACGAGAGUCUGAACCAGCCAGGUAGCGUGCAGGAAGGCGGCCCUAUGGGUUGUAAACUGCUUUUAUAAGGGAAUAAAGUGAGAGUCGUGACUCUUUUUGCAUGUACCUUAUGAAUAAGGACCGGCUAAUUCCGUGCCAGCAGCCGCGGUAAUACGGAAGGUCCGGGCGUUAUCCGGAUUUAUUGGGUUUAAAGGGAGCGUAGGCCGGAGAUUAAGCGUGUUGUGAAAUGUAGACGCUCAACGUCUGCACUGCAGCGCGAACUGGUUUCCUUGAGUACGCACAAAGUGGGCGGAAUUCGUGGUGUAGCGGUGAAAUGCUUAGAUAUCACGAAGAACUCCGAUUGCGAAGGCAGCUCACUGGAGCGCAACUGACGCUGAAGCUCGAAAGUGCGGGUAUCGAACAGGAUUAGAUACCCUGGUAGUCCGCACGGUAAACGAUGGAUGCCCGCUGUUGGUCUGAAUAGGUCAGCGGCCAAGCGAAAGCAUUAAGCAUCCCACCUGGGGAGUACGCCGGCAACGGUGAAACUCAAAGGAAUUGACGGGGGCCCGCACAAGCGGAGGAACAUGUGGUUUAAUUCGAUGAUACGCGAGGAACCUUACCCGGGCUUGAAUUGCAGAGGAAGGAUUUGGAGACAAUGACGCCCUUCGGGGCCUCUGUGAAGGUGCUGCAUGGUUGUCGUCAGCUCGUGCCGUGAGGUGUCGGCUUAAGUGCCAUAACGAGCGCAACCCCUCUCCUUAGUUGCCAUCAGGUUAAGCUGGGCACUCUGGGGACACUGCCACCGUAAGGUGUGAGGAAGGUGGGGAUGACGUCAAAUCAGCACGGCCCUUACGUCCGGGGCUAC